UUUCAUGAUAGAAGAUCACAGUUUGUUCCCCCGAUUACUGCGUUGAUUCAAUAUCGAUAUCUGAUGCCACUGCAAAAAAGAAUUCAAUUCGCUUCACUAAUUUGCAUCGGCGUUUAAUUGCCAUCGCUAAAGCUUACUCUUUCGCGACAGAAAAAUUUGACCGUCGCAAUUGUAUAGAGAUUUUGCGACCGUAUUAACUGCCGUCGCCCCUAAUGGUCGCCAACCACUAUGAAUUUACUUCGGCAAGCAUUAGUCGUCGCAAGUUUUUAACAGUUCGCUACUACAAAACACUUGCUGUUGCUUUCGGGUAGUUAUCUGAACGAUUCUAUCUCUUUUAAUCAAAGAAAACUUCUUUUCUUUCUGUGCGCUGCUCUCUUUCUUCUUUGACCCCAUGACUCCAUCUCGAUCCGACACUGAUGAUUACUUUCAGAUUUCCUCUCUAGAUCUGCCAAAUUCGUAGCAGAAUGUAACCACUGACUAAUUGCUUCGAUUUCGGUCCUGUCAAGUUUACCAGGCUAUCUACAAACCAAUUGUUCCUCUCAAGAUCCUUCCUCUGGGUGAGAAAAAAAGAGAGGAAAAGUGAUGGGACCAAAACCAAUGUUGAGAGGAACAAAGAGGGGAACAAGUGAACAGGCAAUUGGGCAAAGAAGAAAUAAAUCUGAUUGUAUUUUUUCGGUGGACAUCAGUAUAAUGCGGCUAAAUCAAAGAAAUCGAAAACAAAGAACUUAAUUGGGAAAGGUGGGCAAGCAGAAGCUCACAUUAGCCACCCCAAUGCUGUUAAAUUGCUUGGAUUUGGCAUCGCUGGUGUUUGCAAACAGAGAUAAAGACAAUAUUUUAGCAGGGUAGAUGGAUGAUAAUGAGUAUUCCCUUUCAAAAAUUUGGAGUAGAGACAUACAGUGUUGAAAAGGGAUUCACUCUAUUACAUUUUUGCUCUAAAUCCCUGUGUAUAGAACCGACAUGUCCAGCUGCUUUCCAAUAAGAGAAGCCUUCAUCAAAGUCACCAUCUACUGUUACGAAAUAUCAGGCUUAUCCAUCACAAUCAACAUCACCGAAGACUGGCUAAAAUUCCCCAUUCAUACAAUCAAUUGAUUUCAAUUACGAAAUUAUCUACCUUCGUCUUUCUACGUAGAUUAAUCAAUUGAUGUUGAAAACUUUGUUCCCUGUGAUAAUAGAUUUUGCUGUUCAUUCAUUUGUUCUUUGUCAUUGGAUGGGUUGACUUCUCUUAUAAUUGCUAAAAGGGUCUUUGCUAUUUAUUUUUUUUUACUGAGAUUAGUCUGAAAAGGUAUUGUAUAUGAUGAUACUAAUAUAUUUUUUCGCUUUUAAUUGGUAAACUUUCAGUUCCUAAUUGAAGAAUAGUAGUGAUAUGAAACGUGAUUUGAUUUGUAUCAGUGAUAGUACUUAAUUUGAAUCCUUUCUAUAGAAUAGUUUACACCAUAUCUAUCUAUGUCAGCUAAUAGCUUUAAGCAAGGAUGUCAUGCCUUAUUGUAAUAAAAUGCAAUCACUGUUUUUUGGUCUACUGGAAAGAAGCAUAUGAGGGAUCUCUGGUUGUUGCAACUGGUCUAAUACUUGGGUUCAUACUGACUGAUAGUAUAGCAGAAAAAUAAACAUAAAUUUGGAAUAUACUAGCUAGAUAGUAAUGUUUGUUUAUUUAUUCAGGUUGGCUACCUAUGAUCUAUCUGAGCUGCAAAUUGAGGGUGAUGCAAAUUGCCAGUUUCGAGCAAUAGCUGAUCAGUUUUUCGCAAUCCAAACUACCAUAAGCAUGUUAGAAAGCAGAAAUUAGUGAUCAAGACAAGGAGCAUCGAGUUCAUGCCAUUCUAUCUUUCUCCUGCAACCUUCUUGAUCAGUCUCUCUUUCUUUGCAUACGGACUUUUCAGAGAAGAUCCAUUCAUAUAUGUUUGACGAAUCUGUGAAUGUCAAGCAGCUUGAGAACAUAUUGUGAUCCAUGUCAACUUCCACUAUCGGAUAGCCUAUCCGCAGCAAAGCACGGGCACGCUUUCUAGUUUUCUUUUUUUCUUUGGUUGAUGAUAAGUGUUGUUCAAUUGAUCAAACAUGUUUAUCAACUAUAUAUGUAUUUGAAUCUGGUAUUCAUGUUUUGGUGCAUUUUAUAUAAAAUUUAUUAUUUGGCUUC